ACAACUUUUAUCCUAUGGUGUGCGGUAUUCUCUUCAAAAAAAUUUUGAUUGGCCCAUCGUAUUUUUCCCAGCGUUUUUUUCCUUUUUCUGUUUAGAAAAUUGAAGAAAACAAUGAUAAAUCAUUUUCAGCUCGGAAAGAUUAUUUUUGGCCGAUAAAAUGCUAGCUUGCUUGGCUCCGUGCUCUCUGCCGAUGGUAGUUGUGCUAUCUCUUGCUUCUCUUGACUCGAUUCAACAGGUGUAGCAAUGACUCCCCCCAUCCUCCCUCGACAGUCGAGCAGUUGGCAGAUAGUUGGCUGCCCACCAGCCAUCCACAUUUGCAAAUCCUAAACCCUAAAUGCCUUGGAAGAAAAUUUAUGCGCAACCGUAGAAGAUAGCAAAAAUCAUUGAGAGGAUUUGCAACGCACCAAAAAAAUACGACAGAAAUCAUCAACAAAUUUCUUGCAGAGGAUAAUCGGGAAAGCAUUAGUGGAUACAUUCCCGUAAUCAGCACUCUGAAGACAAGGCGGCAUUAUAGAGGAGGGAAAGGCAUUGCUCUUUUCAGGCAAAAGAACUGGGUGCUCUCUUGUACAAGCUUAGGAAUUCGCCACCAAACAGGUUCUCAAAUGAUAAGUUGAAAACAAACAGUUCAAACCAAGGAAGCAAUAAUCGUUUGGGGAAUUAAUCGGCAAAACAAAAGUACAAGAUUUUUUCAAAAAAUCGGGAAAAAAUCAGAUUUACAAAAAAAUAUUUUGAGUCCAUAUUGUUGCAUCUCUGCAUGAGACAAAUUUUGAUUUCUCCUAUGGAGAGGUGCUGCCACUUUUGGGAGCAACCGUUGCUGUUAUUGGGCCAAAAGAUGUACCGAGGAUUGCUAGAGCGGCUGGCAGGUUAGCUGGUAAAGCAGUAGGCUAUGUCCAAAGUGCUCGAGGACAGAUGGAAACUGUCUUGCAUCAAUCUCAAGCUACUCAGGAUUUGCAAGUACCAGACAUCGACUCCACCUAGCUUCAUAGGCCUAUGCAUGUCUUAUUCUAAUGACAAGUUGAUCGGAGAUGACAUAAAAUCUCAUUCUACACUCUAGGUUUAAGAGUAAUUACCCUUGUUAGUCUUUGUGCAAGUUGUAGUUCAGUGUUGAGUGAUCUCUUGAGUUGUCUCUUGUUUGUAUGAUUAGAA